GACGGGGGGGGGUGGGGCAAGUGUUCUUCGGGAUGACUGGGCGUCAAGGGCCCGUAGGCGGUGAAUCGGGUUGAAAGUGAAAGUCGCCAAAAAGUGGCGGAAUGCUCUCGAAACCAAUUCACUUGAGUGAGACAGAGGAGAGUGGAAUUUCGUGUGUAGGGGUGAAAUCCGUAGAUCUACGAAGGAACGCCAAAAGCGAAGGCAGCUCUCUGGGUCCCUACCGACGCUGGGGUGCGAAAGCAUGGGGAGCGAACAGA
rnacentral:rRNA from 1 species